rnacentral:lncRNA from 1 species
CUUAUUGUCUGUUGUCUAUAUCCAUCUGUUGGGCUCAACCCUGACUGGAUCAAAUGAGGAGGGCCGUCAAAGUAUGAAGGAAGAUAGCAUUCCACUCUGGAACACAAU